UAAAACAGAAUAAACUUAUAGGGCUUAUUUCACCAACGUAAAAUAAGUCUUAACCGAGAGUAAAUAGAAUAUUUAGCCAGGUUUUCAAUACAAAAACUGUCA